CUGACAUGAGCUUAGAAGUACACAGGGCCAGAAGAGCCAGGAAUACUCUUCAAAAGAACAAAAGAAGAGCACAACUUACACUAAACAGAUUUCUUUAAAUGUAACAAAUCUACAACAAAGACACAAGAGCCCAUAUGGAUAUCAGAGAACAAGAACAGAACGUCCUUGACACACAUCAGUGUAUUUCAGAAUUUCAUAAGAUGAGGGCGACGUGUGACGUGAGCGGGAAAAGAAAUACACUGAGAAACGGUGCUGGAAUGAUCGAGCUGGUCACUAGGAAAAAACAAAGUUAUAUCCCCUGCUGCUCUACUAACAGCAAAUCAAGUGCCAUACAAGAAAACGAAACUCAUAAAAGAGAAGCAGGUGAAUAUUGCUACGCUGUUGAGGUGUGUGUGUGUCUGGACAGCAGGUUCUGUGAAGACACGGUGGGACGACGCACCUGCCACGUGGAGCCCACACUCAGGCUCGAGAGCACCGACGCGGGAGCCGGCACCGGCCGUCAAAGCGCGGGCUGGCGAGGCACACGAACACGACAACAAGCCCACUUCCUUGACGCAGAGGUCCGACUCCAAGGUUUUUACCCCAAAAAGGGGGCCAGGAUGAAGCAAGUCCUAGUGUUCUGAUGCAACGCCCGGCCACAGAGAGCUUCAAAUUUCAGCGAAACCACUUACCAACGUCUCCCCACACAGACGGCAAGCCUGACAGUCACCCCGCGGAAGCGACACGAAAGCCGGGACACCCACCCCGCACAGCUGGUGCCUGACGGUGACACACCGCGGUGCAGCCGAGGGUGUGGGCACUAACCACACCACAGGGGUCUCUGGGACUUCCUUUAGGCCUCCUCUUGCCUCCCGGCCCCUGUCGUCUGACUCCCGGCCUGGAACUCUCUCCACGCUCUCCGUUCUCCUCCAUCAUCCGGCUCCGCAGACCAAACUCCCGGACAGUGAGCACAGAUGCCUCCCUCCGCUUCACUCCUGGCAUCAUUCAGCCACCAACCCCACGGAUUCCACCCCCGCACCCUCCCUAAUCCAUCCUCCCCUGCCCCACAAUAAGUGCCCCUGCCCAUCCACCAUUUCUCACCUGAAUUACUGCAGCGAACUCCCAACUGCCCACCCUACCCAGAGAGAGCUUUCUGAAACACAAACAGGAUAUAUUAUUCUCCAUAAAAUUCUUCAUAGCUUCCCCACUCAAACCCUUGAGUUAACACAAAUAAGGUCUGACCCCUACCUCUCCAACUUCCCAGCCUGUUUCCUGAAUUUCCAGGUCACUCCUGGUCUCAGAGACAACGUUCCCAUCCCAUCCCAUCCCUGCAUGGAUUAAAGUCAGCACUGCUCCCCAAACUCUAGAGACCACUAAUUCUCUUGGGGACUCCUGUAAGGGUGAUCUCCCCUAUACUGAGGCCUUUUCUAACCCUCCACUCCAAUCUUCCUCCCACUACAAAACUCAUCACCCCCUCCUCUGGGCCCCUACACAUACAGCUGUUAUAGCACCCGUAAUGGGUUAUCACCCAUACGACACCUGUUUGCAGAUCAUGGAACCUCACUGGACCACUAAUAUUAAAUCUUAUCUUCAUACUUUUGGUGCUUAGCACAAAUGUUGGCCAUAAAGGAAACGGACACUUAAUAAAUCAGCGAAUGAUUGGACGAGUUUUUCCACUGUAUCAUACUGCCUCUGUGUACAAAACCGGGGACUAGCAAUUCAUACAAACACACAUAUAGACACAUACAUAACAGAUACAUAAGGGAGGAACUCAGAGCAAUGAUUCUAAGAAGCAGAUAAUUUAAAAAUGUUUGUUUCACUUAAAUAUGCAUUACAACUUCCUGGUUGUGCUUUUGUUAGACUGACAUGAAAACAAGUUUGCAUCCCUGACCCAUCACUAGCUGGAAAGGGAGCAGAGCUCCAGAGAAUUAAAGAAGAACUGGUCUAAGAUUAAACCUUUGUGGGCGCCUGGGUGGCUCAGUCAGUUUAGCAUCCGACUCUAGGUUUGGGCUCAGGUCGUGAUCUCACGGUUCAUGGGGUUGGGCCCCGCA